AACGCACCUUGCGCUCUUUGGUAUUCCGAAGAGCAUGCCUGUUUGAGUGUCAUGAAAAUAUCAACCUUGACUUGGGUUUAGUGCUCUUGUCUUGGAUAUGGAGGUCGUGCAGAGCGCUCCCGCGUCCUGCUCCUCUUAAAUGGAUUAGCGAGUUCACUGGACUCCGUCUAUUGGUGUGAUAAUUAUCUACGCCGUGGAUUGGGUCUAGACUUGCUUCUAACCGUCCGCAAGGACAACUCUUGACAAUUUGACCUCAAAUCAGGUAGGACUACCCGCUGAACUUAA
rnacentral:misc_RNA from 1 species